ACAAAGACAAGGAGAAGGACAUGGAGAAAGCAUGAUAUGAGAUACUCUUGCUUUCAACCUUUAUGAUAUGAAAUACUUUUGCUUUGAAUAGGUUGUUCGCAGGAGUAUCCCAAGGAAUGAGGAACACAGAGUGACUCGAGAGGAUUCUUUGGGAAUGCAUUUUCGGAGAUGAAGAGGUGCUGAGAGGGUGUGCUGAGAGAGUGUGCUUUUGCUGUGGAAGGCGAAGGUAGAAACUUAUAGGACUUGUCUUCACAACCGGAACUGUUCUCUCACUUAGUGUCGGCAGCCGGUGGAUGGGUGAAGAAUACAAAUUACGCGCUUUCUGACAAAGCUGCCCGUAAUUUCCGCAAAGCUGAUUCCUCAUUGAUAUCUGUAAUCGGCGCUUCGAGCUCUGAGCAUCGUCGAUUGUAGAGGUAGCAUGUGACACGUGCGGAUAAAUCUGGAAAAGAAGAUUUUCCCGUGGGUUGAAGCCCAGCUUUUGAGAAAGCUAGCGUGUCUUUGACUGUUGAAUUUCCCUCUUCGAUUUCUGAAUUGGUGCUUCGACAAAUUGCCCGAGAUUUCCGCAAAGCAAUUUGCGUGUGACAAGUGACGACACGUCUGGACAAAUUGAUCUUUUGAAAUCCGGGGUUCGGCUCGUGGUUUCUGAGCAAGCCCAGCCUUUAAGAAAUGAAACGCCUCUUUUGAGAAAAGAAUCCGGCUUUUGAGAAAGGAAACUCCUCUUUUGAGAAAAGAAUCAGACGUUUUGAGAACGGAGCCCCGACUCUUCGAUUUGCGAGAGGACGCUUCUCUGAGGAGCGCCUCUUUGAUUUCUUCCUUUUUAUAGAGACGUUAAGCUUGUUCCACAACACACUUGAGUACCCUCCCGUAAACACUCCCUUCUUGCACUUGUUUAAUCUUGAUCAUUCCGACUCUCUUCUUGUCUUUACCACCUCUGAAAAAUGUCUGGCCCUUCUGAUCGUCGUUUUGACUUGAACAUUGGUGAAGAGGCAGCUCCGCCUUCACCAGACAACAUAUGGCGGCCAUCCUUCAUAUCCCUACCGGUCCCCUUACCGUGGGGGAUUCGAUGAUGAAAAAUGACAUGACCGCUGCGGUGGUGGCCCGAAACCUUGUCACUCCCAGAGAUAACAGACUGCUCGCAAGGCGGUCUGAUGAAUUGGCAGUCAAGGAGUCUCUGGCUCUUCAGUGUGCAGUGUGCGGGUUCCGUAUCCAACAUGGCCCAACGCCUAUAUGCCCGAACCCGUCACGUUGAAUCCUUGGUGGCUGAAAUACAGAGUCUCAAGCAAGAGAUUAAAGGGCUCAAGCAUGAGAAUAAGGAAUUGCACAAGCUCGCACACAGCUAUGCCACCAGCAUGAAGAGGAAGAUUGACCAGAUGCAGGACACCGAUGGUCAAAUUUUACUUGAUCAUCGGAGGUUUGUGGGUUUGUUCCAACCGCAUCUGCCUUCGUCUUCUGGGGGCGGCACCGCGUAGUGAAGCUCCAACUGAUCAACCUCUGCCGCCUCCUCCUUCUGUGGCCCCGCCGACUGCUGAAGCCCCGCCUACUACUGAAGCACCACCCGACCAAUGAAUACUAUUAGUUUACAUCAUUGUAAAAUAUUUGUACUUUUUUUUUUUUUUUUUUUUUUUUUUUUUUUUUUUUUUUUUUGUAAUUUUUUUUUUUUUUUUUUUUUUUUUUCAUUAAUUUUAAAUUUUAUCUUUUUUUUUUUUUUUUUUUGUAAAUUAAAGUAGAAAGACUUUGGUUAACCUUCCCCCACACUUAAACUAAAUAACACAAACUCACAGAAAUCAAACAAAUAACACAACUAACUAAAACAAACAAAAUGAAAGCAGUAAAGAUAAGGGUGUAAAAAUGCAAAUCUGAUUGGGUUAGCGAUUCCAAAGUCUCCCUUCGUUGAAUGCUUGGGUUGCCUCCCAAGAAGCGCUUGAUUUAACGUCUUUAGCCGGACGCAUCUUUCCUUUAAAUUUCCCUCAGCUCCAUUUGUGCCUAAAAUCAAAGAAAGAAAAAUAAAUCAAAUAUCAAAAGUAAAAUACACAAACACCAAUAUAAACAUAAACAAAAACAAAAAUAAAAGGAUUAGCAAAGUUACUAAUCCCCGGCAACGGCGCCAAAAUUUGAUGCGUAAAAUUACUUGACACACAAAUUAAACCCUCUUUUUGACAAUUGUAGUAUAGAUGUAAGUAGGGUAUCGUUCUAGGCCGGGGAUUAGGAGGGAUUGCUAAUCUAUUCUAAAUUAAUUUAAAAAUAUUAAAUAAGACUCAAGGACACAAAAUUAGGCUAAAAACUCUAAUAACUCGAAACACACUUAAAAUGACUCAAAAUAAUGAAAACAAUUAAAUUAAACACUAGGAACUGAAAUGGACGGAAAUUAAAUUAAAAGACUAACAAUAAAGAAAACUAACUAAAUAAUAUAAUUUAAUAAUGGAUGGGUGUUUGGUUUUGAUGAAAAGUAAAUUAAACUUAAUUAAAUUACAGAAUUGAUAAAAACAUAAAAUUAAGGUAAAAUGAUAAAUGACGGACUAGCUAGAGGGUUCUUCUCCACACAUGUUAUACUUGCAUACAAAAUGAUUUCCAGUUGUUCAUUUAAUAAAUUGUGAAUCUCAAUACUCCAGAUUAACCGUGAACAGCACUUUUUUAAUCUUCAAGUUUUCCUUAAGUUAUUGAAUUGGACGGGAAAAACGCAUACAACAAUUCAAAACAUUCUUCAAAAGUCCCCUACGUGAAAAGCACAAUAGAGAUACAAUCAAAGAUCAUUAAACUUUGUGAAAACUAUAAGCAUUGACGAGGCAUUCGUAACUAUGAAAAAGCAUGAUACUCUUGCCAAGAAUUUACUUAACGUGAUUGUGACUAGCAACCUUUACUACUUGUGAAAAUAAGUUCAUAACGAUUAGGUGAAAUUCACUUAUAUUCUAGCAUCAAAUUCAUGCAUGUAAAUUAAGCGUGCACUCUCAACCAACAUACACAAAUCAGUUUUUAUACGAACGGAUAAGUAAAUUGAAUUCACAACUUAUAACUCACAACUGAAGAUAAUCAAUUCAUAUUACAAAUAUAUUCAUGGUUUCGAAUUAACCUCUAACCAACAUAAAUUUAAUUACACAUUAUUAAAAACAGAAAUAAAAUAUGAGUUUGGAAGGAUUUAACCGAAAGAGAAGGGUGCUUGCUGCUUCUGUCUGUCUUCCUCCCCGAGGCUCACUGUCUUUCCCGCUCACCUCUGCCCUCACUUCUCGUCCCCGCAGUCCCGUGCUCCUUGCGCCACGUGCUGCAAGGCAGCUUCUCUCUCUCUCGCACCAGCUGCCAAAUGGCAGCUCUCAUCUUUCUUUUUUUAUAUAUUUUCUUUUUCUCCUUCUGCCGCAAGGCAGCUGUGCUGCCAGCCUUCUGUCCUCCCUUUAUUUUCUGCAGCUGUCCUCUCCUUGUUCUGCCAGUCAAGCUGCCAAAGGCAGCUUGUGACCUCACCUCAUGCUCAAGCUGCCCCGUUUCUUUUUUUAUCUUUCCUGCACGCUGCCUUCUGUUUCAUUCUUUCCCCUUUCUUCUAAUCCGUCCUCCUUGGAUCCUUUUAGCUGUCUCUCACUCAUCUCUCCACCGCUGCCCAAAAGCAGCUUUCUCCUUUAUUCUUCUUUUUUUUUAUUUCUGGCCUCACCUCCCCGUAGCUAAGUUGUCCUCCUCUUAUUUUCUGUUAUGCCACAAAACAUGAAUCAUGAUGAUGUUUCAAACAUCAUCAUGAUUUAUUAUUAUUAUUUCUUUUAUUAAUUUUAUGUAAAAGUUGAUUUACACAGACAGGUUUAACGAAUUUAUUACAUAAAAUUUCACUUGUUCUAUUUUUAUUUUCUUUGCAUAACAAAUCCUAUAAACACAAAAAUAACGUAAAUAGCUCAAAAAUAUAAGGAACUAACUAAGAAAAGACGAGUGAAUUCGAAGUAAAAAUAUAUAUAAAUAUGAUCCGAUCAAAUACCCCCACACUUAACUUUUGCUAGUCCUCGAGCAAAACAAAGGAAAACAUGAAAAAAGUAAUAACAAUGAAAAACAUUAGCUUCCCUCUAUGUGACCCUCAUAGAAUUUCAUUCAAGAAAACAAAUCAUCAAGAACCAUAGCUAGCACCAAACAAACUAAUCCAAGUUCAUCUUCCUAAUUCAAAUAUUAGCAGUAAUCUUUAAAUCAUCCUUGAAGUGUAGUGUGUGAGAUAGCCAUGCUAAUACAAUUUCAAAUUUUUUUAUAUUUUUAAAAUCAUCAUAUGCAAACUAGCGACCUUCUCACGGGAUAUGCACUCAAUCACACAUGUGUUUAGUUUUAAUGUGUUUCGCUCAAAAAAAAUCAAAUGUGAAAUUUCUACCAUAAGCUUGCAUAAAGAUCACUUGUCCACAGUCAUAAUUGCAAAACUUAAAUCAAGAGGACUUUUAUUGGAUGUAAUGAGGUUUAGGGAUAGGGUUAUUGAAACGAUAGAAUAGGAAAACACAAGUUCCAAGCUACAUUGCAAGCAAUUCUUUUCUUUAGAUUUAUAAGAACUCAAGCUCUCCAACGAUUCUUCUUAAACCUCCAACCACACCCUUAAACUGAAAAUUAAACAACUUUAAAAACAUUUUUUUUUUUCUUUUCUUUUCUUUUCUUCGUAUACAAUCUUUCUUUUUCUUUUUUUUUAUUUUUUUUUAUACAAACAUGAAAUACCCCCACACUUAUUUUUUUGCCAAACACCUUCAAAGUACUUACAAACAUUUCUCAUAAGACAAUCUCGCAUUGCUCGCUUGGAAAGGGUAAGGAAAAAAUGUUUCAGGUGUAAGGGUAGACAUAUCUGGUGAUAAGAAAUAAAAGGUUCAACAUACACGGCUCAAAUUGGCAAUCUAAUGAUAUCAUUUUUCUUUGGGAAACAUGGUUAUUUGGGCCAUGGUGGUAAACCUAAUGCCUCUAUCAUUUCCAAGUUCAUGCAAUCAAUGAUAAACAUUUCGAAAGAUCGUUACGCAAGUUCUAGAGAUAUAUCUCACAUAAGUUCAUCACACAUGAAAGAAUAGGAGUGUAUGAAAAAUGCACACACUUUCAAUAGGCUCAAAAACUCACAUAGGAUGUAUAUGGUCACUAAAUUCACAUAUGAAGCUUUAAGUCAUGCUUUAGUUUCACAUCAACAAGGCUAUGUGCAUUUGGUUUUUCAAAGAUGAUCAAACAUGUACAAAACUAACAAGAGAAUUAGGAAACUUCAUAAAACACAUGUUAACUAAGUUCUUGAUGAUCAUGAUUCAAAUUUUGAUCUAAUUAUAUCAUUGGGUCGGGAAACUAACAAAAAUCUAAUUCAAAACAAUAAGGGAAACAAGACAAUAUUUUUUGGAUUUUUUAAAAUUUUCCGAUUUUUUUUUUUUUUUUUUAUAGAGAAAACAAAACUAAAAAAAAUUAAAAAAAUAAAAAGCAACAACACAGAAACAAAUGAAAUUCUAGAGAUUUCUACCCCCACACUUAAACUUGACAUUGUCCCCAAUGUCAGAAAACACUAUAAUGCAAAAAUAAAUAAAAUAAACAAAAUAAUAAAAAAAAACAAAAUAAAGCAAUUGGACUGAAAACUUCCCUAAUUUGCAGUAAAAUCAAGCGAUGACCCUCAAGCUAAAAUUCUGCAAUCAACUUCAAGGGUGGAAAUAACCAAAAGUUCCUGCAAAGAAAAGGAAAAAUUCAGUUAAGUACGCAAGAAAAUUAAUUAAAAAAAAUAUUGCAAACGAAAAAUUGAAAAUUACGAUAAAAGAUAAUGAAUAAAACUAAUAAGUAAUCAUUGGUCGUGCUUGUUGACUUUCCACAGCUUUCCUCUUGAACAGGGUGACACUUAGCUUUUUACUUGCAAGUGAUGAUUUGAUGAUAUUGUACGGCGAAGCUUUGCUCUUUGGUUAUGUUGCAGUUCCUUAUUUGUUCUCCAAGCAGAUGUGGCAGCUUCUCUAGUUCCUCAGUUCGGACUCCUUCCGCUGGGAUGAUUGUGCAAGCUGCAUUCUUCUCUGCUUGUUUCUUCUGCACAACGGGCAGGCACGAGGGAAAGGUGUUGGUCCUUAUUUCUUUCUUCAAUCUUUCCAAGUGCCCACCUCUUGCUUUCUUUCUCCUUGUCCCUAGCUGAAUUGUCUCCACAUGCUUCGAGGUAUCAUUUUCACUUCCCUUACUGUCCCCCAGGCAGAUGUGGUAGACGAAGAGAAAGCAUAAAAUGAAGAAGAUGAGUACUCGAGAGCAAGGCUAGGUAAGCAAUCAGGAAAGGGUUCCAGGCAGUUGGCUCCAGAUUGGAAGAUUGAUACCAAAUGCUGGCUGAUUGCUCUCUUUCUCCUUGUCGGAAAACAAAGACAAGGAGAAGGACAUGGAGAAAGCAUGAUAUGAGAUACUCUUGCUUUCAACCUUUAUGAUAUGAAAUACUUUUGCUUUGAAUAGGUUGUUCGCAGGAGUAUCCCAAGGAAUGAGGAACACAGAGUGACUCGAGAGGAUUCUUUGGGAAUGCAUUUUCGGAGAUGAAGAGGUGCUGAGAGGGUGUGCUGAGAGAGUGUGCUUUUGCUGUGGAAGGCGAAGGUAGAAACUUAUAGGACUUGUCUUCA
rnacentral:lncRNA from 1 species